GGCUAACCUGCCCUUGGGACGAGAACAACCCCGGGAAACUGGGGCUAAUUCUCGAUAGGUGAAGAUCUCUGGAAUGAGUUUUCGCCCAAAAGACCCUACGUUAUGCUCGUAGUUUCGCCCAAGGAUGGGGCCGCGACCGAUCAGGUUGUUGGUGAGGUAAUGGCUCACCAAGCCUUUUACCGGUGCGGGCCGUGGGAGCGGGAGCCCGGAGAUGGGCACUGAGACAAGGGCCCAGGCCCUACGGGGCGCAGCAGUCGCGAAAACUUUGCAAUAAGCGAAAGCUUGACAGGGCUAUCCCGAGUGCCAUCCGCUGAGGAAGGCUUUUACCCAGUCUAGAACGCUGGGGGAAUAAGGAGAGGGCAAGUCUGGUGUCAGCCGCCGCGGUAAUACCAGCUCUCCGAGUGGUGUGGAUGUUUAUUGGGCCUAAAGCAUCCGUAGCUGGCUAGGUUAGUCCCCUGUUAAAUCCACCGAAUUAAUCGUUGGAUUGCGGGGGAUACUGCUUGGCUAGGGGACGAGAGAGGCAGACGGUAUUUCCGGGGUAGGGGUGAAAUCCUAUAAUCCCGGGAAGACCACCAGUGGCGAAGGCUGUCUGCUAGAACGCGCCCGACGGUGAGGGAUGAAAGCUGGGGGAGCGAACCGGAUUAGAUACCCGGGUAGUCCCAGCUGUAAACGAUGCAGACUAGGUGUUUGAACGGCCACGUGCCGUUCUAGUGCCGCAGGGAAGCUGUUAAGUCUGCCGCCUGGGGAGUACGAUCGCAAGAUUGAAACU
rnacentral:rRNA from 1 species